rnacentral:rRNA from 1 species
CCUACGGGAGGCAGCAGUGAGGAAUAUUGGUCAAUGGACGAGAGUCUGAACCAGCCAAGUAGCGUGAAGGAUGACUGCCCUAUGGGUUGUAAACUUCUUUUAUAUGGGAGUAAAAUGUUCCACGUGUGGGAUUUUGUAUGUACCAUAUGAAUAAGGAUCGGCUAACUCCGUGCCAGCAGCCGCGGUAAUACGGAGGAUCCGAGCGUUAUCCGGAUUUAUUGGGUUUAAAGGGAGCGUAGGUGGAUUGUUAAGUCAGUGGUGAAAGUUUGCGGCUCAACCGUAAAAUUGCAGUUGAAACUGGCAGUCUUGAGUACAGUAGAGGUAGGCGGAAUUCGUGGUGUAGCGGUGAAAUGCUUAGAUAUCACGAAGAACACCGAUUGCGAAGGCAGCUCACUGGACUGCAACUGACACUGAGGCUCGAAAGUGUGGGGAUCAAACAGGAUUAGAUACCCCAGUAGUC